GUGACUUCUGCAGCUCCUCACACAGAUUCCCAUUUCAACCACUGUUUAAGUGAAGAAUUUUUUUAUAGCACUCAACCUGAACCUUCCCUGGCACAACCUGAGGCCAUUUCCCCUUGUCCUGUCACUUGCUAUUUGGGAGAAAGAGGGUGACCCCCACCUUACCACAAUCUACUUUCAGGUGCUUUAGAAACCUACUGCUUCUAAAAUGUUUAACUUGAGUAUUAAAUAUUUCAAUAUUUGUUUAAUGUAUACACAUAUAUGUAGAGGAUCUUACACACUUCAUGGGAACUUUUAUGGAGAUAAGUAUUGUAAAUGCACUGAGACAUAUGACUUCAUUAAACACACUCUUUUAAUUCAAGUAAGGAACUAAAUAGAUUAGCACAUAUCUAGUACUCAGUUCCAGUUCCUAUUCCACAGGCAGCUCUGCUCAUGGUUAUCUUCACACUUGGGGCAUCCUUAUUGCAUCCUUGCAAGAGGAAGAAUUUUCUGGACUAUAAAAUUCCUGCAGACAAUACAACAUCAAUGCAGUAAGAAAAAAGAAAGAACAGCCAUAAAUUGGUGGCAAAGAAGGUUCAGUCCCACCCCACAAAAAUGACAGCAGGACUCAGCACAGCUUAGCCUCUGUCCCAAUGACUGGUGAUGGAAGGAGGUUAAUGGGGGAUCCCAGAACCACCUGAGCCCUUUCAUAUAGCAACUGCUUGCAGGCUGUGGGACAGUCUCUGCCUGGGAGAUUGAGCCUGUCCCUUGGGUACAAGAAAGAGGUUUCCAUUCUAUUCCCAGAGAUCUCAAAAUUAAGUGUUUUCCCUCCCUGUCAGCUGUGAAUGAUUUCACUCCCCCCUCAAACCUCUGGCCAGGCUAUUCUUCCAGGAACACUCUGUGUUUUAUUCCAGGCUGGCAGCUCUGCAUGGGGAGCUCUGCUGAAGCAAUACGGCAGAGCAGUGUCUCUGAUACGGAUGUGCUGCCCAGUUUCCCCUGCAGAUAGGACUCACCUAACACAGCAGUGAGCCUGAAAAGUUCCUACAGGACAGCAGGGAAAAUAACCUUUUUCUCCCAAGACAGAGCUUUCCUCUGGCUAGCAUUAUUCCAUGCUUCCACACAUUUACUUAAUAGUACAGCUUGUCCUAGUGUAACCAGAAAACUCCUAUGUUUAUAUUUUUUUACUAGCUCUGAAGGGCUCUGUAAGUCUAAACACUUACAUUUUAUUAGUAUUUGUGGUAUUUCAUUAAUAUUUGUGGUAUUUCAUUUUGCAGAACUGGCCAAUAUGUGUUAUCUUUGUCUAACAAGCUAUUGCUACUUCAUUCUUUUUAUAGAAAAUCUAUAGAAAACUGUUGAAAGGUAAGUAUUUUAAAUUAACCCCUUUGCAGAGCUGAGCUUUGACUCUGCCUUCUCCUGGAUCCUUUAUCAAACUUAUAUGAUACUUGCAGAUACACAUAAGUACCACACCACCUUUCAAGUAAAGUCUUUCUUUUCCUUUCAUCCACAAUUAAAAGACGCCUUUGUGAAUACAUUGAUAUCCUUCUUGUGUUUUUCAAUCAAAUGCUAAAUAGGUAAGCUGACCCUUAUUACUGUUAGCUCCAAAUAGCAAGAUAUCUAGGUUUUGUAAAGAAGAAAAAAAAAAAUAAGCCAAAUACUGCCUGAAAGGCUCUUUUUAUGAACAGAUUGAAUAUGUUGCAUUAUCAGCCACUUUUGAACUUCAGAAAACUAAUAACAAUGGAUUCUGCAUAAGCUUCCCCCCUACAGUAAUAGAAACAAAACUUCAAAACUUCUCCACAAGCCCACUUCUGAGCUCCAGUGGCUGCUGGCAGCAACUCUUGUUGCCAGCAGUUGGUUUGUCCACUCACAAGGUGUCACAACGAUAAGGUCUCAUGUACUAAGAAGCAAAAGACAAACAAAAAACCAAAAAAAAUAUAAAAAAAAUCCACCCAAAAAAACAAAAGAACAAAUCCCCUACCCUCAUAUAUGAGAGGAUAUUACAGGAUCAGGCUCAGAACAUUAUACAUCUGAAACGUGUGAACUAACAAAAGCUCAACAGUGAGUCAUUCCCUUUUUGCAUCAUCUUGCUUUCAAAUAGCUCCCUGUGAAAUUUAACAGACAUAAUAGAAAAUAAUAGAAUUGAAAAAUAGGAACUAUUUCCACACAGUGGGUUUUUCCCAUAAUGGAUACAAUCUGAACAGCUAAUUCACUGCAAGAUGUGCAACCACAAGCUCUGUGACAAGAAUCCUCUUCCUAGAGUACUUGAUUAUUUCUUAUUGUGAGUCAUUGAGUAUGCAACAGGAGUAUAUCUAGCUCAGGUUGGAGGGUUUCCAUUUUUGUAUUUAAUUAAAGAACACGCAGAAAUGGGUAAAUUCAAACCUAUGUGGCAUAAUAUUUUAAAUAAUUUAGAGGGGUAACCUUCUGAGAAAAACUUUAUUUAUGGAAACAUUGAAGGUGAAUUCCUGUCUCAGAUAAGGUCUGUGGGAAUUCUUCAUUGCUUUCACAUUCUCCAGAGAUUUUCUUUUCUACUUAAAAAAAAAUACUGGCAGUUUUAGCAACUCUACUAUUAGUUUUUAGUGCAGUUCUACCUCAGUCACAAAAAGAUAAACCUAAUUCCACAGUGUAAUGACAGAUGAUACAGAAGGAACAGCAGGAAAAUUCUUAGCAGGCAGUAUAGAGCUUACAUGAAUUUCUAACCCCACCCCACCCCCUCUCAGCCAAAACAGAAUAAUUUGUCCAAAAAAAGUACAAGAACUGGAAAAGGUAAGGAAAUUAAUGACCAAAAUUACAAUUUGGGGAAAAACUGCAGCAUCUUAUGAUCUGUGUCAUCCUACUUAAAAGCUAUCUUACCAUAUCUGAAAUAAGCAUACAGCAUGAGCAAAUAGGUAUUUCACCAGUUCUAGUUCCAGCAUAGUUAAUGAUUUCCAAAACCAUAACACAACAAAUUAUACUAGUUUGGGCGUUUGAAUUAAAAAGGCUAAAAACCAAUAAUGAAUUCAGAGAACACCCUGGGAUUCAGGGAAAAUCCAGGCUAAGUGCUGGCUGUGUGGUCACAUUUGGUCAACACCAGAGGUGCUAACCCUGCAUAGGGUAGAUGUGAGCUGCACUGCACAUAUGCUCUCGUUCCAGAAAUGGUUCCCUUUGGCAAUGCACACACACCUGCCAUGCUCAUCUAACAAGAUUUUCUAUAAGUAAAAGGCUGCUUACACCUUUCAAGUCUAUCUUUAUUUCAAAAUUAACAGUGAAUUUUAGUUGGUGACCAUGUAUCACUUAUCUUUAGGAAAAGAAAAAUGUGUUUUAAUGAAAUGUAAUUUUACAUAAACUUGAUAUACAUUCGGCUCAUCUGGUGGGAAGCAAACAACACCCAUAAAGUCAUACAAGAGUUAUUACUCAUUCUCCUCUGUGAAGAUGAAGUACUACCAACAUAUAGAAGUAUUACAGUAAAACACCUGAUUUUUGUUGGUCUCUGUCACACAGUGACAUUUUCCAAAAUGGGUAAUGGAGCUUUGGGGGUAUUUUAUCUUUCUGACUAUUUCUUCUUAAGUAGUAGAACAAAUUUUGAACAUAAACAGCACCUGCUGAAAUGUCUGGAUAUAUUCAAAUAGGUGUUUUGAUUGCUUGUAGUCCUUGUUCAAUGUUUUUUAUUUUCAACUUGUUUUCAUAGUUUAUAUUCCCAAGCACACUAGACCGUGUGACUAAAAUGAGGACGAUGUCAAGAGGUUUCUGUGCCACAUACAAAGGAAUCUCCUAGGUACAAAGCAAGGAAACCCCAGAGGGCAAAGACAGUGGAGCCCAAGCUGUCAUCAGGAAAAGAACAAUAGAGCCCAAGCUGCUAUCAGCAAAAGAUACAAAGCCCAGCUGCCCUCAAAGGAAAGAUGAGGAGCCCAGACUGUUAUCAACACUGACCAUUUGCAGAAGAAAGGAAACCAAACUCAAAAUAAUGCUCAUCAGCAAGAAUAAUGAUGACCAGCAAAAAUAGUGCUGAACAGCAGAAAUAGAAAUCAAACAGAGCAUGUUCUAAAUAAGUGGAACCAGGGUGAGUUGCCUGAAACAGUUUCAUUCUGGCAGUACAGAGCUUGAGGAGCAGCCUGUAGCACAGGGCAAGAAGGACAACAGGACAGAUCCGAUGCCUCGGAUGCUGUUAUGGACACAGUGAGGAAGAAACCAGUGUUAGUUUGAGCAAGGAGAGGAAAAAGUCUUUCAGGUUUCCAUGGACAGACAGCAAUGCAAGAGAAGAUGAAGGGAUCAGCCAUUUGGGGAUCCUCUGCAGUCAAUGAUACAACUCCACAACUGUUGUCUUGACAGUAAUGAAAACAAGACAGGGAAGGUACAGAUCGUCAGGCUACAUGUGAUGACUAAUAAAUCAAAUGUUGUGCAGUUUACUGAAGGAACUUGAAUUCAAUGAAAACUCAUGUCUGGCAGGAGGUUCUGCAGCUCAUGAACAGACUAUGGGGAAAAUCCACUUCUGAAGAAAUGACACAAAGAGCCACUAUCCAGCCUUGGCAAAUUGACUGAAAAGUAACAAUGGAUGUAUUUUAGCACAAAGAGUGGAGGAAAAUAAGUAAGGGUAUCCUAGCAUUUUCUGGAGAAUUGCUUCUACAUCUUAAGUUUAUAUAUUUAUAUUUUAGGGACAAGGUAAAACUAAUUAUAAAUAAAGCAGGCUUAUUUUGCCCAGUUUAGGGUAUUUGGCAGUUUCUUCAUGAUACAUUUUGUGAGCUGAGUUUAUUUGCUUUCAGAAUCAAAAUACAGUGUUGUCUUAUUACAAUAGCUUGUUACUUGUUUUGUCUGUUUUGAAGUAAACUUGAUUUUGAAACUGUGAAAAUGAAACUGUACUGUACCUACAUACCUGAGGGUAUCAGACCAGGAUGGUAAAAACAGUUAAUAUCCUCAGUUGGACAGCUAUCCCUUCACCACCCCACUUCUCAAAAAGCAAGUUAUUAUUCAUUCUCUGCCUUGUCUAAUGGACAAGAAAUUAAAACUCAGGAGAAGCAAAAGUGCAGCUUAUUUGUUCACAAUGUGGGAGGGAAAAAAAGUUGAAAAAAGUUGAAAAAAGUUGAAAAAAAAUAAAAAUAAGAAAAAAAAUAGACCUUUCCAGCAAAUGCAUACAAGAUAACAUUGUAGACAAAUAUUAUCCUAGCAAAAGAAGAUGCUGAAAGCCAACAGUAGUUUUAGUUUCAGCAGCUAAAAAACUUCAUGAGAACAACAGGAAUGUGUAACUUGUUCUGUUACUUUGUGGCAGCAAAAUUGUCUCAUUCAUGGAUAAUGUCGAAUGACUUUAUAAUCAAAUUCAAGAGAAAAAAAAAAAUCCACAGAAAGGGCAAUAAAAGGCCUGAAUGAAACUUUCAUUUUGUUAGGUAAAAUUAUCUAAAAAAGCUGGUCUUCCUUUGCAACAUAAUGAGAAUUUGCCUCAAUAUCCCUGAGCAGAAGUCAUACCUCAAGUUUCUGCUUCCUAGUUAAAAGAUUUCUCCCACCCCAUUCACAUCUGUCUGGAACAGACUGACUGUUCUGCUCUAUACUGCUGUGAUUAGGGCACUCCUAUGAGGGAGGCAGCGAGAAAGUGAACUCAUGUCUACCACAUCAUUUUUGUAGCUUUGCAUGUUCCUGAAUUCCAGAAUUUUUUUACUUUGUUUUCCUAAAAUAAUGAAGAAAACAGAAUUUUAUGCCAAUUUUUAAUUUCAGGUCAAACUGAGUAUUUGCCUAAGUAGAUGUUCUUUCUGUUUUG